UUGUUGAAGUGGGUCGGCGGUGGGAUUGGGAUCGGGAGGGGGUUCCCACCCUCGCCCCUUGGGGCAGGGAGCCGAGGACGGAUUAUUCUCUGCGGGGCGACGACAACAGUUUCCUUUCGGGAGGGUCAAUGAAUGUGAAAGCUGAUAUAAAGAAAACUACCGUUGAUUCCGAAACCUCGCUACCAAUUACAGUUGAUGCUCUGCUUGCUGGUUGCUACAUUGACCCCACUCCCGCCUCUUCACGCUGUCAGACCCGUCCUGAGCCAGUGAGAGUUAGUGUGAGCCGGACUGCUGUAAUCCCGCUCUACCCCGGCUCACCCGGCCCUGUCCAUCUGUAAUGAGCGGCGGACACAUCACAGCCCAGCGGCCUCGGGAGCAGCAGCUCAGACUCAACUCUCUGUACAGAGUGAGAACAUCGGUGCAGGACCAUUGUUGGUCACCGGGAAGUCAGACUGUGAUUUGCUGGGACCACACUGAACGCCGGCCGGUUACAACAUCAGAGAACCCGUAACACAGCCUCACUGGGACGGGGUGGUAACAGAACCUGGAGCCGCGAUACAAGCUAAUUGCCUGCAUCGACUUCCUGUGCAUGUCCCGGGGGAAACCGGUGUAGUUGGAGGUGUUAUCGGAAACGUCGCACUUUCAACCCAGCUCCGAAUCAUCAGCAAAGGCUCGGGAGGUGCGAGCUUCCCGCAUCUGGGAACUGUUCCCGGGCUACUGCUUGCAGUAACGGGAAGCCGAUCCGUCCACACUCGGGGCUUUACCGAUCCCCAACCGAGGAACUGAGGAUUCGCUUUGCUUAUUCCUUCGCAGGUGGGAUCGACAGUAUUUGUCUACCCUUUACGAC